GAUGAACGCUGGCGGCGUGCCUAAUACAUGCAAGUCGAGCGAACGGACGCGAAGCUUGCUUCUCUGAUGUUAUCGGCGGACGGGGGAGUAAUACGUGGAGAACCUACUUAUAAGACUGGGAUAAUUUCGGGAAACCGGAGCUAAUAACGGAUAAUAUUUUGAACCUCAUGGUUCAAAAGUGAAAGACGGUCUUGCUGUCACUUAUAGAUGGAUCCGCGCUGCAUUAGCUAGUUGGUAAGGUAACGGCUUACCAAGGCAACGAUGCAUAGCCGACCUGAGAGGGUGAUCGGCCACACUGGAACUGAGACACGGUCCAGACUCCUACGGGAGGCAGCAGUAGGGAAUCUUCCGCAAUGGGCGAAAGCCUGACGGAGCAACGCCGCGUGAGUGAUGAAGGUCUUCGGAUCGUAAAACUCUGUUAUUAGGGAAGAACAUAUGUGUAAGUAACUGUGCACAUCUUGACGGUACCUAAUCAGAAAGCCACGGCUAACUACGUG
rnacentral:rRNA from 1 species